rnacentral:rRNA from 1 species
AUUGAACGCUGGCGGCAGGCUUAACACAUGCAAGUCGAGCGAGCGGCGGACGGGUGAGUAAUGUCUGGGAAACUGCCUGAUGGAGGGGGAUAACUACUGGAAACGGUAGCUAAUACCGCAUACCAUCGGAGGUGCCCAGAUGGGAUUAGCUAGUAGGGGGGGUAAAGGCUCACCUAGGCGACGAUCCCUAGCUGGUCUGAGAGGAUGACCAGCAACACUGGAACUGGGAAACGGCCCAGACUCCUACGGGAGGAAGAAGUGGGGAAUAUUGCACAAUGGGCGCAAGCCUGAUGCAGCCAUGCCGCGUGUAUGAUGAAGGCCUUCGGGUUGUAAAGUACUUUCAGCGGGGAGGCGUUACCCGCAGAAGAAGCACCGGCUAACUCCGUGCCAGCAGCCGCGGUAAUAC